rnacentral:rRNA from 1 species
CUCUAAAUGGGAGGUAAAUUUCUUCUAAAGCUAAAUACCGGCCAGAGACCGAUAGCGCACAAGUAGAGUGAUCGAAAGAUGAAAAGCACUUUGGAAAGAGAGUUAAAAAGUACGUGAAAUUGUUGAAAGGGAAGCGCUUGCAACCAGACUUGUCCGCAGUUGCUCAGCCGGUCUCCUGACCGGCGUACUCUUCUGCGGCCAGGCCAGCAUCAGUUCGGGCGGUCGGAUAAAGGCCUCGGGAAUGUGGCUCCUCUCGGGGAGUGUUAUAGCCCGGGGCGGAAUGCGGCCAGCCUGGACUGAGGAUCUCGCUUCGGCAAGGAUGCUGGCGUAAUGGUUGUAAGCGGCCCGUCUUGAAACACGGACCAAGGAGUCUAACAUCUAUGCGAGUGUUUGGGUGUCAAACCCAUACGCGUAAUGAAAGUGAACGGAGGUGGGAACCCGCAAGGGCGCACCAUCGGCCGAUCCUGAUGUCUUCGGAUGGAUUUGAGCAAGAGCAUAGCUGUUGGGACCCGAAAGAUGGUGAACUAUGCCUGAAUAGGGUGAAGCCAGAGGAAACUCUGGUGGAGGCUCGCAGCGGUUCUGACGUGCAAGAUCGAUCGUCAAAUUUGGGUAUAGGGGCGAAAGACUAAUCGAACCAUUAACAUUGGCGGCCCUUUGUUACGCGCUUGUCUGCUAGGUG